rnacentral:ncRNA from 1 species
CGCAUCGGUGCGGCGGGCCAUCAAAGACCAAGAACUGUGGGAAAGAACCAACCCAACCCAUCCAAACCUCACACUAGUCACCCGGACGGGUGAUUCCGCCCAACUCGGCUGGCGCGGGAGCGGAUUGGCACGGCAGGCUCAGCCACAACAACCCCAGACAUGCGACGGCCCCCGGCCGGGACUGGCAUCCCGAGUCGAGGGCCUGACCACCGAAGGAAGAAGCACCUUCCCG